rnacentral:rRNA from 1 species
CAAUACAGGGCUAAUGUCUUGUAAUUGGAAUGAUGGUGACCCAAACCCUCACCAGAGUAGCAAUUGGAGGGCAAGUCUGGUGCCAGCAGCCGCGGUAAUUCCAGCUCCAAUAGCGUAUAUUAAACUUGUUGCAGUUAAAAAGCUCGUAGUUGAAUUUUAGCGUGUUCGAGUUUGCCAUUCGUUUGGCUUUUUCGAGUUCGCUUUUGGGUUUUCCCUUUUUACUUUGAGAAAAUUAGAGUGUUUCAAGCAGACUUUUGUCUUGAAUACUUCAGCAUGGAAUAAUAGAGUAGGACUUUGGUUCUAUUUUGUUGGUUAUUG